GGGAGUUUUCGUUUGGAUUCAGAACUGAUUCCGCCCUCCCUCCCCAGCAGGCGAUUGCUACUAAUUAAAUAUAAAGUUUGCCAAACAAUAAGUACUGCUUAAGUUGGCCAGGACUGUGCUCUGUGCACGGGUAAAAGGGGAAAAUCGAUUCACUUUCACCUGUUGGAGGCCAGUAAACUUGAGUUCAGUGGUUAUAUCGUCUUUUGGUGUAACAGUUGAAGUGGCCCCACGUACAUACUCCACUGGAUGCUCAAGGACUGCAGCAUUCCCUUCAAGAUUCCCUAUUCCCAUUGCCGUCGGCAAGCACGUUGGCCACUUGUGGCUUCCACAGCAACAGCCGCCGCAGCAGCAGCAGCAGCAACUUGCUGCCUUAUUAACAUUUUGCCUGACAACAAAUUACUCGUUCUGUCUAAAGCCCGAGAGAGGUGGUGGGGGGAGAGGAAGGAGAGGAAGUGGCCAAUGAGUACUCCAGCUGAUGAGUGCCACGCACUGAGGGAAAUGCUUGCUCUGCACUAAGGCUCUGAACAAGCACCCACACCCAAUAGACGCGGUGACACCACGGCUAAGCUCGGUUCCUUGGAAGACGUAGACAUUCCUUCAAAUAAUCGGUGUUUCCACACAGAGAGAUCAACCGUAUAUGUAUUGACUCACCUACUGCCGAAAGAAUAUGGAAGAUCUUGAUCGAGGGUCUCUAGUGUGAUGUUCAACAGGUUCUUCUUCUCUCUCUCUCCCUCUUAGAAGUUGUGGGAAUGUUUUAAAGUCCUGGCCUAUACAACCGCAUUCUCUCAGUGGAGAAGUUUCGCCAACUUACUGUAACCAUCCAUCCCCCCCAAAUGCAAUGGACUUAUCAAGUAACAGUUUGCAUGACUUACUGAAACAGGAACUGAACCUGGAGGAGGAGCUGUAGCUGCUGCUGAUGACGGGGACCGAUAAGCACGAUGAUGGUAAUGAUGAGGUUUGGACAAAAAUGAGCCAAGUGGACAAAAUACAAUUUCCGACUUGGAGCAAACAGCUGAGUCUGCUAAAUGCCCCAAAGUCCACCAGCCGGGCCAGUA